rnacentral:rRNA from 1 species
AAUGAACGCUGGCGGCAGGCCUAACACAUGCAAGUCGAACGGGUCCUUCGGGAUUAGUGGCGGACGGGUGAGUAACGCGUGGGAACAUACCCAAAGGUACGGAAUAGCCUCGGGAAACUGGGAGUAAUACCGUAUGUGCUCGAAAGAGGAAAGAUUUAUCGCCUUUGGAUUGGCCCGCGUUGGAUUAGGUAGUUGGUGGGGUAAUGGCCUACCAAGCCGACGAUCCAUAGCUGGUUUGAGAGGAUGAUCAGCCACACUGGGGCUGAGACACGGCCCAGACUCCUACGGGAGGCAGCAGUGGGGAAUCUUAGACAAUGGGGGAAACCCUGAUCUAGCCAUGCCGCGUGAUCGAUGAAGGCCUUAGGGUUGUAAAGAUCUUUCAGGUGGGAAGAUAAUGACUGUACCACCAGAAGAAGCCCCGGCUAACUCCGUGCCAGCCGCCGCAGUAA